GGGCCGGCGGUGGCGCGCGCGUGCGCGUGCGCGCGAGGCAGCUGCAGGUCCGCGGCCGGACGGUAGAGGCCUCCCUUCUGAGGAGGCGGCGCGGCCGCAACCGGCUGGGGCUCCGGUCCCCAGCUCGCGGGUCCUUCCCGACGAAGUCCCUGCGCGGCCCGACCCAGUGCGAUUUUGACAGCAAUCACCAUACCAAGCUAUUAUGAAGUGUGAUGUCAGUGCGUUCUGGAGGACGGAUAAUAUAUAAGCCAGUUCUUGACACGCUAUCUUACAAGGAAACAUCUGAGACCAUCAGGAAGAGGCAUUUUAAUUCACACACCAAAAAUAUUUUGUGUUUGGUUGACAUCUUUCAAAAUGCUGAAAGAGACCAGAUUCUGUAGGAGUCAGUUUUACCAUGGACUCCGCAUGUGUUGACUCAAGGUCCUUUCAAGCACGGAUCGCAGUGCCCAGUGGUCAAUACCCUUACUUUUAUCCAGUGUCUGCUUCAUUUAAACUUAAUCAACUCCAUCAACGAACUGGAACAGGGAAACGUCCCUGCGGUCAGAACAACUGGGUUAAGAUCUGGAGAAGACAUUGAGUUUUCUCUAUGGGGGAAGGAGGGGGAGAAAGGAAGCUAAUUGAGUUUUACUGUGCGGCGGAAGGACUACUCCAGGCACCAGUGUGGCUUCUAAUGUGAGGAAAAACACGGAAUGACAAGUGUGGGAAAGAGCAAGCACUAAAUUACUGUCAGAAAAAUAAACGGAGUAGCACAGUGGUGCUCAGUGAUUUACGGGGGCAAUUAGUCACCACCCCACGGCGCUGCUGAGGACAGCACGGCAGCAGACGCGUCAGGCCUGAGAGGAAGAAGAGGCUUUGCACUGCUCUCCAGACAACUUUUCAAACAAGAGAGGAUAUUUGAGUACAUUAGGUUCCAUGUCUUCAUUCUGGGUGCCCACCCUUCACAUUAUCCAGCCAACCUAAUACAUAAACGUAUUUUUAACACAAUAUUAACCUGUUCUGUGUGUGUUAAAAAGACUCCCAACUGCAGCUUUUUUCUCUCCCACUGUCUAAAGUAGGUUUUCCCCAUUCCUUAAAUGAAACAAACAAAUAAAAAAACCUUUCCCUGGUCCCAAA